UUCUUCUAGAGCGGCAUUGAAAUAAAAUUAAUUGUAAGUCUAGACACGAUUCGUCCAAUUAAAGUAGCUCACCUCAGGAUCCAUCACGUUUGAGCUGCGUUAAAUCACAAAAAAAUAUUAAAAUUCAGUGGAGGCGGAGUCGCUACACUCACAAAACUGGGCAACAAUUCUCCAAAUAAUUAGGACAUGCUUGCUUUAUGUUUAAUGGGGCUAUAAAAACGAACAAAUGAAACGAAACUGGCGCCAAAAUUUUUACGAGGAACACAAGAUGAGUCAAAAUAAAAGAAUUGCUUUCAAAAGGUGCAAAAACAAUUUUUGUUUGCUUAACAAAUUAUGAGGAUAAUUAAAUUAAAAAUAGCCAAAGUCCACAAAGGAUCCAAAACUGCGAGCGCUGUAUGAAAAUAUCCAGUGACAUUUAAGUCACGUAGCCACUGAUAACUGAUAAUUUAAUUAAUUAACAUAAAAUGUGUACGAAGGGACUUAGUGUGUGUUCCAAAUUGCCGGGGACAAUGACAGUCGUGACGAUGACUCUACAAUUCGCCGGCUGCUAAGUAGCGGUUCGACGACCUUUGCUUCCUAUUCAAAAGAUCAAGGAUUUUUUGAUAUUAAUUUGCGGAAAAUGCAAAAUAUUGUGUUUGAAAAAUGUACAUAUUUCUUUAAAUAGUCCUUUUGUUUAUUCAUCUAGACACCUGUGGAAUGUGACAGGUACUUGCCAACUUUUCUUUAAUUUGUGAAACGUCAAAAACUAAUUAAAAAACAAGUUUGGAGUAAAUAAAAUUCAGUCAACAACUUUCUAAUUAUGCUCUAUUUUUAUUCUCAUGCAAAACAUAUUUUUAGAAGCAUAAACAAACCCAAAAACAAUUUCUACUCUACAUGACCAAAAUCGCGGCCUACUGGGUGCAAAACACUGAAAGCAUGCUUAUCCACACAUACCUAAGCGUCCAAACCGGAAAACCUGUUAGAAUUCGAGUAGAAUUUGGAAAAAUUACACGUCACGCGGAAAAGCUGCUCUGGAAAGUCGUGGAAAGCUCGACCUUAGAUCGUCCUCGACGCCACGUGACGUCACGACGUCACGUGGUUUAAUAUAAAUUGCACAAAAUGUGCCAAAAUUGCAGCGAAUUCAUCGCGGAAAUCCUUCCAUUCUGUCUAAACAUAACUCGAAUCGUGUAAAAGUCAAGGCGAACCGAUAUUAUUGCGCAAAAUGUGUUGGGUUAUUUAUAAAAUCGAUUAAGAAGGCUUGGCGCGACGCCGCGUUCUGAUUGGUCGAGCCGGCGGGUGUGUCGUGACGUUUGCCGCGCUGAUAUUUGAAACUUCGGUUGGAUAACACCGUGUCAAAGAUUUGACUUUAUUGUCAAAAUGCUGUCAAAACCCCUCGUUGCCACGGCAGCUGGUUCAAGCUGCGACGUGACUUUAGGACUCACCGACUGAAUGGGUCUCCUGGAGCUGGUGGUGAGGUUUUCGGAGGAAUAGAUGGGCACAUCCAUGUCGCUGACAUUGGAGGAGAUGCUCCCCUCCCGGCCCUCCCGCGGGGGUAUCUGAAGGAGAGCCAUGGCCUGCUGUUCAGCCACCGUUGGACUCUUCAGAUAGUGGCUCUCGGCGACGUAUCCGACGCCGUCGUCGUCAUCCCGGUCCAUUCCAGACACCACAGACACGGAAAAUCGCACACGUUUGGGAAACACACCGGAAAAUCGCUCCAAAAUCGCGCCGCGGAUGCGACUGAGUGACCCCUUCAAAGACGUCGCGACGCAUCGAGAUGGAAAGUAUUUUUAAACGCGUGACGUCGACGUCACUCUUCGGUGUCAACAGAAAACAUACAACAUUCUUUGGCAAUGGGCUAAAGGGUGUUUUUGGGCUGAUUCGCGGUCACGUGCUGACGCAAACACGUGGGAAGGGCUAUUUUUAAGGAGGCGCCAGCAUUGCACGCAUAAACAAUAAUUUUGCGCAAAAUUGAAUGCUGUAGAUAAACGCCGAGCAGUGACGGCUCGUGCGUUCAAAAAAGAGCUACAAUAAAAUUUACAAAUCAA